ensembl:lncRNA
UCCCCACCCACGGAAAACUGGACCGUUCCGGAAAGCAGUCCGGCGGGAGGGUUAUACAUCGGAGUCGUAGGAGUAUUGCUGGCUGAUUGACUGUGAGGAGGAAGGGGGUUAAGAGUUCAGGGGUCAGGGGUCAGAGGUCGGCGUCGUCUCCCAGAGGCCUCACGCCUCAACCAAAGCAGCGUGUCCUUGUCUCUCUCUCUCUCUCUCUCUCUCUCUCUCUCUCUCUCUCUCUCUCUCUCUCUCUCUCUCUCGCACUCUGCCUCGCCCCGGAGACGGGGCCGUGCGUCCCGAUUUAGACUCCACCCGCCGCCACUGUGCGAAUGCCCACACUCUGGUCUCUCUCACACGCUUUGAUGAGGACGGGGAGGGCUGUUUAGGAAUCUGGGUUGAACGUGUGUGUGUGUGUGUGUGUUUCUAAUGAUGCACUGUCGUUGCACUGCUUUUAAGGGGAUCUGGGCUUCUUGGGGAUUCGGUGGCGUGUGUGUAAGACUCUUUGAACGAAGGGUGAACCAGUUUGUGUGUGUGUUUGUGAGUGUGUGUCUGUGUGUCUACGCGCAGACGCAGGCACGCAUGAACGUGUUUUCUCCGCAAUGUGCACGCUUUUCCUGUGUGUGUGUGUGUGUGUGCACGUGCAAACGUCGGCGUGUGCGUGCGUGUGUCUCCAGGCGGUGCUUGCUUGUCCAUGUUUGUGUGUCAUCCAAACCCAGUGAGCACACACAGUGUGAUGAAUGAGACAAAGAUACAGAGAGAUGGGGGAGAGAUGUGUGCAGGGAGUGCAAGAGAGCGAGAGACACCGAGGGGGAAGGGGAGAGGGAGAGAGAGCUUGGUUAAGCUAGGAGAGAUUAGCUCUGGCUCAGUCCGGCUCUCUGCAGGGGAUGGGUAAGAGAGAGACUGCAGGGACUACCCCAGUGUAGGGUUCGCCGGCGGGGCAGUGGAGGUUACCCUCUCUGGGACGGGGGGCAUGGAGGCUCCAGAUUACACACAAUGAAGAGGGGAAGUCUAUUUUAUAAAGGGAGGCGCUAUGAUGUUAUAACGUUAGUACCGCGCAGUUUAACGAUUGUAAAUGGAACGUUCAUAGUUAUCACUGCAGAGUUGAAUUUAAUUGGGCGCUAAUUGUGCAUUUGCAGCUAUUACUUCAGCGGGCCGAUCUUUACGAAUGAAAUACUUUGAAACAUGUUGUUUCAUGCUAUGGUGUCUUUUCAUUUCGCUAGAGAGGGAAAAAAGCAGAACCUAUGAUAUAUUAAAAACCCAGUUUAAUAUAUGAAGAUGGCGGCCCCACGGGCCAUAGGUCCUCAGCUUCAGAAGGCAGGCAUGACAACGCCUGGGAGAUAAUGUGGAGAUGAUGGGAAUUAAAAAAGGAGAAGCCCUGAACACCUUUAGCUCUCCGUGGAACCUGGUUCCACAGCCCUGGGAUAGCACGGCUGGGAUGGAGAAAUUAGGAAAUAAUGAGUUUUACCGUAGCGUUAUGCUCGUGUGUGCACUCACUCAUGCACCCAUACACACACAUGCACACACACAUACACUUAGCACACACAAACGCACACACACACCCUGCUUGGACGAGACCUUCAAACAAACUGCUGAGCUCUCCUUAUUAUGUGUGUGUGUGUGUGUGUGUGUGUGUGUGUGUGUGUGUGUGUGUGUGUGUGUGUGUGUGUGUGUGUGUGUGUGUGUGUGUGUGUGUGUGUGUGUGUGUGUGUGUGCAUGUAUGUGUGUUAUGUGUGUUUUUUUGUGUGUGUGUGUGUGUCCGUCCAUCUGGGAAAUGAUGGAUAUCAUAUCAGCACUGAAAUUAUUUGCUAUUUUACUCAACACUCACUGUAUUCUCUUUCUUUGGGCAAAAUACUGUAAUGCUACCCAUCCUAGAUGCUGUGUCUUUCAGGUGUAAUGGAAGAAAAUAGUUAAAAGUGGCGACUGGCCUCCCCACACAGGAUAAUAAUGCAACACAUCAGCCCACAGCAACAUGUGACACAUUAGUAACUGUGGUAGCUGGUGUGAAAAUGUAUCUCAACAGCUUUUUCUGUGUUAAUUAAGGAAAAAAAACAUAAACUUUGCGCCCUGUUUCAACGCAAAUUCGACGAUAAUCGUACCAUAAUCAAUAUUGCUAUAUCGGCUCGUAUAGUACCAGUGGGGCAUCGCCACGACGACGCGACAGCAUCCUCUCUACUCCCUACAGGCAUCCUCCCUGAGCCCUUCCUCCUACAGCUCAGCGUCUCUUCCCUCGCUCAGCCCAGCAGCAGCGGGCGUGAGUCGCUGUCAGUACAAACACGAGCCGGUUCCUUCUGUCCGCCGUGUUUGUACACAGUAAUUGAUACCGCUGUCCUCCCGCACACACGACCCUCCGACAUGUUUGCUGGAGACGGCGUGUGUGUGUGUGUGUGUGUGUGUGUGUGUCCCAUUGUGUGUCUGUGUGUGUCCCAGUGUUUGUGUGUGUGUCUCUUAGUGUAUGUGUGUGUGUUUCUGCGUGUGCGUGUGUUUGUGUCUCUUAGUGUAUGUUAGUGUGUGUGUGUGUCUCUUAGUGUGUGUGUGUGUGUAUGCGUGUAUGUAUGCGUCUGUGUGUGUGUGUGUCCCAGUGUGUGGUGUGUUUCUCUUAGUGUAUGUGUGUGUUUUUCUGCGUGUGCGUGUGUUUGUGUCUCUUAGUGUACGUGUGUCUCUUAUUGUGUGUCUCUUAGUGUGUGUGUGUGUGUGUGUGUGUGUGUGUGUGUGUGUGUGUGCGUGGGUGUGUGUGUGUGUGUGUGUGUGUGUGUGUGUGUGUGUGUGUGUGUGUGUGUGUGUGUGUGUGUGUGUGUGUGUGUGUGUGUGUGUGUGUGUGUGUGUGUGUAUGUAAUAAAACUGCGUUUUCUAACGGACAAGAGGAAUGGCGAGGGGGGGACGAGGGCUUAAGUGCCCCGGUACGCAACAUGAAAUAUUUGUCGGAAUAAAGCAAUCACAUUUCGGAGAGAGGACUCGAGUUGUAUCGCUGCCCGUUCUUUCUAAUAACUGUGGGUGGAUGUUUUGAUGUGUUGUUUUUUCUCCUUCCGAGGCAUAGCCCUCCUCGUAGCUAAGCUAUCCUUCCAGAGCGGGUUCUGUAAUGAGGCUGGGCGUUGUCGUAUAGCGGGGAGCUAACCUUCAUUAAUAGCAUACGCCAAAAAAAACAACACAGGCUUUGAUGUGCAGAUUCACUACGCCGCGGCCGCGGCCGCUGUUUGUUUUGUACUACACGCACGCCCCUCUGUACUGCCGGCUUAGAGCUAACCGAGAGCCAUGUUUCGCCCGUGGCUAAUACGUGCGCAGCUUACAGCGCCGGGUCUGGGCAUAAUUCAUGACACACCGCAUUAGCGCCGAGCCACGGCGCGUCCGCGCACCUCCGCAAGCCCCCCCGCCACGUACCUCUAUUGUGGCUGACCGCGCGACGCGGGCUGUGAAGUCACUGUGUUCCCUUCUGUGCUGAGGUUUGCCUCGUACGAAAACACACAGGAGCAAUGUCACGAGGCGCCUCGUUCAGCGCACAUCAGUGACGCACAACUUGGGACACAACGCAACGCAACACGGUGACCUGGCGGCGGCGGUGUAACCACCGUGGGCCAACAUACGGGCAGACCCUGCUCUUGAGCGAUGCGUUCUGCCGCGCCCUCUCGUUGAGGGCCUGGUUAGUCUUAAGGGAGACGGAAUGAUGUGUAAUUACGGCGGUAAUAAUACCAUUUAUUAAAGAUAGCGCGUUUUCCUCGCUGAGCGCGGUAUCCGUCAGCUGAGCGAGCGAGGGCGAUCAGAGUGCAGCGGAAGUCAUCAAGGCGUGAAAUCAGGGGAAUCUUACAGCAACAAAGUGAUAUUUUUCAUGCAGCGUUUGGGGGACAAAGGAAGAGGCUGCUCAAGUCUGCGGCUGCCUCCUACUUUAAUUAAAAUAGUUCACUGAAUCCCCCUCCUCUUCACCCUCCUCCCCUCGCUCCCUUUUUCAAUAUCUCUCGUUUUCUCUCCCUCAAUGUCUCCCCCACCCCCCCUCUCUCUCUCUCUCUCUCUCUCUCUCUCUCUCUCUCUCUCUCUCUCUCUCUCUCUCUUUCUCUCUCUCUCAGGGCAAACCAUAUGUCUAUCGGCCUACGUAGGGAUCACACUGUUCCCCGCCUAACCUGCCGCAAUGUUUAGUCAAGCGAUUGCUUUAUAUCGCAAACUGUUUUCCUCUCUCUCUUUUCCUCCCUUCCCCUGCUCCCCUUCAGGGAAAGGCGUUUGAAAGCAGGGCUAUACCGAGAUUAGACCCAGUGUAUACCCUUUUCUAGACGUUGUGCUUGAUCCAUCGCAGAGACACCUGGGCUAUACCAAUGCCCCAGACGCUGUAAGAAGCUGCGUUCGGUGGAUCUGGGUGUGACUAAUUGUGCACUUAGACCGGUGGAAAAAUGAAAAAUGUUGUUGAUUUAUCAUCGUGUUUUUUGUCAUCGUGUUGUGGAGUCAUUACACGGCCCUGACACAGACAAUUUCACAGCAGGCCCGAUGGUUUGUGACGGUGUUGGGUUAAUGUUCGGGGCGGGCGCGGGG